GGAGAAUGCUUCUUUGUGGUAAAGGAGAGCAGCAUGCAGCAUGCUAUGGGGAGCUCUGUGCUGUUUGUGUUUGUUUUCAUUUCAGUGUGCCUAAGACAACUAGCAAGUGUGAUUAACUAUGGAGCCCAUGCAAUGUGCACAGCAUAUGGAAUUGUAUUUUAAAGCUGUUCUGGUGUCAAUUCUUUGGAAUACAGAGAAAACUAGCUCAAGCCCUGAAAUGGCUAUUUUGCACCUGUCUGCCACCUCAUCUGUCUGCUCCUGUCUGCCAUAUGAAGACGUGCUGUCUUACUAGCAAAGUAUCUGUGCUAGAAUAUGGAUUUAAUAACAGGGCACAUUUGGAAGAUGUACACUGCUGAAAGAGUUCUGAACAAUCACAUCUUUACUGUACACAGAGGCCCACAGAUGUCUUGCAAGGACAUAAUUAACCAGGAGAAUUUUUAAGGUGCUGCCCACACAAAGAUACUAAAGAAGAGAAGACCUCUGUUUCAGUUCACUUUAGAUGACUAAUUUGCCUAAAUAGCCUUCAGUUUGCCUUGGAACUUUUUCAGCUGAACAUGAUAAGCCAAGGGCAGGCCAAGCUACCUUCUUCAAGUGCCUACCUCAGCUGGUUGAAUAUAUAGGAAAUCUCAUAUUUGAAACUUCAUGUUGAGAUGACUGAAAGUAGGAAAGUUCAAGAAAUAACCACUGGACUGUGAUUUGUUAAAGCAAAGAAAAGUGUCCUGGAAGGAUGAGAAAAAAGGGAUUGUGUUCCCAAUCCCACCUGGUGCUGCACAGCUUUGUGCAGCUGAAGGAGGGUACUGAGUUCCAUGUUUGCAGACAUACAGGGAUCUGCUAUCCAAAUACUGAAAUCACUGUUGGGAAGAGAAGACGUUUUUUGCCUGCUCUCCAACCGGAGAGGUUGUUCAAUGUCUCUGUUUGCUUUUUCAUCUAUGCCAUUCACUCUGUGUUUUAACAAUCUGAUUCCACAGAUUGCCUCCAAUUACACAUUAUUUUCAUUAUAAUUUGUAUCUGCUUUUCAAAUAAAAAACACCUCAC
rnacentral:lncRNA from 7 species